CAUAACAAAAGAAACAUCAAAAGUUUAUAAAAACAGUUCUAACUAUAUGCAUCCUUCUUUGUGCCCUUUAGAAUAGACAAUGUUGAGAAAACAUGGGUAGUGUAUAAAUUUUAUUAUUUUUGAGGUAACCUAAGUAAUGUUGGAGAACUAAUGAACAGGUGACAUGUAGAAAAUUAGUCUUUCAUUGUUUUCUUCUGUGAAGAAUCUGUGAAUUUGUACUAUAUAUUAAGCAUUUGCAUUUGGUUUGUUUCAUAGCUGAUAUAUUUAGAUAUGAACAAUUGAGUACAGUAUUGAAAUAUUCAAUGUGCUAGCAUUUGUAGUUUUGAUAAAUCCUGUUGCUGGCAAUGGAGUUGUGCCAGAGAAAUCUGAUUUCUACUGCAAAAGGAUUACCUAGCCAAAGCCUCAAACUCAAGAUUUGUUUAAAAAUGUCUUCAAAUGCAAUAAAAACCUCAUAACAUCAAAAAGUGAUUCCUUGAACCAGAAUUUAAACAUAUUGGUCUGCUUUGAACUCAUGACCAGCCAGAAUUUUCCUCUUGAAAUUGGCAGCACAAUAAUGAAAGCGUAACCCUAGAUUUUUGGAGACUGCAGUGCAGCUUUCUGAGUGCAGGUGUCACUGCUCUGCCAGUUAUUGCUGUUUUCUAUUCAACAUUUCUCUCAGCUUUUGGCUGGGAAGUCAGUAUUGGAACUGAUCUUUUCUUACCAGUGAAUAUAAACUCUAGCUCCUUCAUCUACUAUAGAGGAAUAUCUUUAGGAUAUAGAAAUAGGAAAGAAAAAUUCUGGGAAAAAAAUUGUACAAUAGGGGAGAUAAUUCAGAAAGAAAGGCUACUUGUUGGAAUUUCUAGUCUAAAUAGUACAGGGUACUCAGGAAGAAAGAGGGACGUGGAAAGAAAACUAAAUGUGUUACUAAAGGUGAGAUAUAUGACCAAACAAUGGUUAAGGCACUAUAGGCCUAAAAUGGAAUAAUUGAGUCCUAUAAUUCCGAAUCUGGGUUAAGUAUUUUUCUGUAUCCUUCCUGGCCACCUGUAUAUUCUGAAAUAGGCACAUUAGUCUUGGAAGCAAUAGGAGUGUCCUGAGUAAUUUUCUCUAAAGUAGAAAAAUUAUGCAUCUAACUGUGGUUUUGGUACUGGUGCCCUGUAUAUAGGUAGCAAUAUAGGACCUUCAGAGUAAACUUGCUUCUGGUAGAUCUCACUCAUUGGAUUAGCGUACAACUGUCUAUAUAAUAGUUCUCAUUUUUAUUAUUAGAUUGUGGAAAACUUUUGCAUUAUUUUCUUUUGUUAAGAAAAUGGAAACUUGAAAAUGGUGAUAAAAAUUGAAAUAUAUGUGAUAUUUGCAUUAUUAAAACCCUUGGCAGAUCUCAAGUCUCAGGGCUAUACUAUAUACUGGUUAAAGCACUGAAUAAUGUCUGGUUUUCUUUCUACCUGUGAAAUGAGAAUAAUAUUUAUCUCAUAUGUUUGUCUUGAAUAGAAAAUGAGACAAUGUAUAUAAAAGCACUUUGUUAACUAUAAAGGUAGUACAAGUGUGAGCUUCUAUUUGUUUAGAAGCAUAAAUGUGGAUUAUGUACAAUUUGAAUUACACAUAAAUUUGUUUUGUGUCUAAUAUUUUAAAUUAUAGUUUAUUCACAUAGUAUAUAUACUCUUACUAAUUUAAUAGCUUUUGUGGGUUUUUUGGGGGUGGGGUGGUGGUUACACUUGAAGCACAUGGAAGUUCCCUUGCCUAGGGCUUAAAAUCAGAGCUUGCAGCUGCCAGGCACAGCCACAGCAAGGCCAGAUCCGAGCUGCGUCUGCAAUCUACACUGCAGCUCAUGGUGACACCGGAUCCUUACCCACUGAGGGAGGCCAGGGAUGGAACCCACAUCCUCAUGGAUACUAGUUGGGUGUGUAACCUGCUGAGCCACAGUGGGAACUCCAUUUAUGGGUAUUUUUUUUUUAAUUAUCUUUUAUUAGUAACUAGAUCGUAAACAAGUCACCCAACAUCCACAAAUAGCUGUUCCAUCUCUUUCCUUUUUUUUUUUUUUUUGACUUUUUGCCAUUCCUUGGGCCGCUCCUGUGGCAUAUGGAGGUUCCCAGGCUAGGGGUUGAAUCGGAGCUGUAGCCACCGGCCUACACCAGAGCCACAGCAACAUGUGAUCCGAGCCGCGUCUGCAACCUAUACCACAGCUCUCGGCAACGCCGGAUCGUUAACCCACUGAGCAAGGGCAGGGACCGAACCCGCAACCUCAUGGUUCCCAGUCGGAUUCGUUAACCACUGUGCCACGACGGGAACUCCCGGUAUUUUUUUUUUUUAAGUGGAAUUACAAGUCACUGAAUUUGAGAAAUCCAACAUCUUACAUCUUGUCAAAACAUGAGAAGCUGCCAAAAUUUCAGAACAGAAGAAAUCAUCACCAUGAGAAUAAAAUAACAGAAAUUGUUUUCUAGAAUUAGUUAGGAAGCACUUUUUCUCAGAAAGGGGGUAUUUUUUUUUUCUGCUUUAAAUUUUACUUCUGAUUUUUCAUUUAUUCUAGUUGUGAAUUUAUGAGAAGUUAUGGUUCACCUGAUUCAAACACCCUCCUGCUUUUCAUGUGAAAGAUUAUUUCUUAAUUUUCAAAGAGCAGGCAAGUGAAGAUAGAAAUUACCCACAAGGGGAAGUAAGGGGUGUCAGAGAUUGUGUACAGAUGCCGUCCUGUCAAGUGGUGAGACGGGUGUGUUUAGUCGGGAUCUGGAAGGCAUUUCUGGACCCAGCACCUAAGAGUGUCCUUAGGAACAGCUGCAGGUGUUUUCCCCAUUGUGGUGUUUAGGUGUGCUUCUUAUUUUUGCAGGGCAUUACUUAUAUCUCUGCCUUGAGUCUUUGAUCUAAAACGUUUCAUUUUACUUUUUCAGGCGUCGAAGUGGAAAUUUGGAUUCUUUAAAAUGAGUUGGCGUUUAUGUGUGUGUCUGUGUGCAUCAGGGCCCAGGCUUUCUCUUUGCUUUUAUGCUUUACUAUUCCUAGUGCUGGCUUAUGGCCUUGUGGUUGCAAAACGACUUUUGGAACUCUAGUCAUCAUUUUCCUGUCCAAAGCAGGAAGAAGGGGAGCGAGAGCAGCGUUCACCUUGUUCUGUUUUAUCAGGAAAGCAAACACUUACUCAGAAUUCUCAAAACAGACUUCUCCUUAGGGUCAUUAGCCAGAACCUGGUAACAUGACUGCCCACAGCAGCAAGUGAGAUCGAAAAGAUGGGCAACAGGAUGGUCUAGGUUGGCUUAAGCCAAUCAAUCAUGAACCAUCACUUAGGGCUGAGCAUGUUGCUGUUGGAACAAAAACCAGGGUUCAGUGAUCAAGGCAGAAGGGGGACAGUGGCUAUCGAAUGGGCAGGUAACUGCCAGAUAAUCCAACUGUCCAUCAGUGAGGGCUGGGAGUUGAUUAAAUUGUGAAGCAGUCCUACUGUGUCAUACUUUGUAGCCAUUCAGGUGAGUAAGGUAGAACUGUGUACCAUGGUAGAGAAGAAUAUUCUUAUUACAUUAUGGAUUUAAAAUAGCUUGUAGAAAAGUAUGUAUAGCAUGAUCCCAUUUAAAAAAUAUAUCAGGGUACAUAUCAAAUUGUUAAUAUUAAUUACCCAAGGAGUGAGUAGACUUUCACUUUUCAUUAUUUCUAUAUUUGAACUUUUAAUACAUGUAAAACUGUGCAGUUAACUAUGUGUAUUCAUACGCAUUUAUAACACCAGGAAGUAGAGAGGCCUUCAGGGCUCAACCCCAGGUAUUUUCCCUCACACUUAUGUGCCCAAUUUCAUUUACCAGUUAUACUCCAUGGCUUCCAGGUUGUCUUAGCCAGCAUACAUAACCAACUCAGAGUCCCCUUAAGUGUAGCUUAUCCAAGAGUGAACCCAGAGUCUUCUCCAAACCCAGUCUCUUCCAGUCUGUUCUCUCGGCUGGCAGCACCAUCUUCCCAAUUAUGCAAGCCAGAACCUAGAAGUCAGGCUCUGUUUCAUGACCACCAUCCCCUCUCCUCAUCCCCGUAGUUUCCAAUACAUUAAAUCACUUCACUGUCACUACUCACCUGGAUUAUUCUACUAGCUUCCUAACUGGUUUCCCUGCGGUCACUCCUUCCCUCCAGUCCAUCCUCCACUUUGCAGACAUAGUGUCUUCACAACUAUUUCAUCAUCUCCUGUUUAAAUCCUCCCAGGGCUUCCUGUAACUCUGAGGAUGGAAAGCAAAAUUCUAGCCCACAAGACCCCACCUGGUCUAGCCACUGCCAGCCUUUCCAGCCCUGUCUUGCAUUGCCCUCCCACUCAGUCUUGGGGCUCCAGCACACUGGUGUUUUUUUCAGUUCCUAAAACAUGCCAUGACCUUUCUCAUCCCAGGGCAGCCUGUCUUGUUGUGUCUGGAACUCUCUUUCUAUACCCUCUUACCUAGUUAAUGCUGACAUAUUCUUUAGAUCUCUGCUAAUUGGCUCUUCUUCAGGGAUGUCUUCCUUGUCUCUCCAGACUAAUUGCCUUUGGUACGUGUUCUUGAAAAUCCGUAUUUGUUCCAUGUAAACUAGUUAUUUUGAAUCACAGUUAAAUAUUAAUUAGUAUGAUUCAUGUAAUACUUGUCUGUCUAGAUUCUUAAAUACCAUGUAAGUAAGAUUUUCUUUUUUCUCACAAGUACAUUCCUGGUACCCAGUAGCAUACACUUACAGGCAGAGCAAUGGAAGAGUAAUAUGGGUUUGGGGAGGCUUGAUAAUGGAUGGAGUUUGAUGUGACUGAGGAAACGUGGAAGGAACUGAGGCUGCAAAAGGAGGUAAAACAAAGUCAAACCAUUCUGACCAUGAUCUAUGUUAAGAAAUACAAUUUAUAUUUUGUAUGUGUAGCUCCGUAUGUGAAUGUCUGUGUGUACAUGUAUAACAGGUUCUAUAUCCCAAUACUUAGCCAUUCGUUCAUGUAGUGCAAUUUUAUUUUUGUUUUCCAAAUCACCAAUUCCAACCAUGAAAUUGAUGUCAUAAUUCACUAAUGGGAUGUGCACUAGAAAAACACUGAUCUAAAGUUUGGUUUUCAAGUUGUU
rnacentral:lncRNA from 1 species